AUGAUAUCCUCAGUGUUGGUUUGGAUGGUGAUGAUGCGACUCCUUCCAAUUGGCCAGAGUUGUAGCGAGGAGACUCUGACGAACUUUAACCAAACGAAUUGUGACAUCUGUCCUCCUGGCUAUCACGCGUCGGAAGCCAUGGCCGGCGGAUACCAAUGCAAGAGGUGUGAGCGCCACACCUUCACCGCAAUAAAAAACUACGUGUCCAAGUGCGAGAGAUGCUCCACGUGUGAUGGAAAUGGCAUGAACGUGUUAACGGAAUGCGUCUACAACAGGGAUGCUUUGUGUGUAUGCCAAGAUGGAUGGUUCCCCAAUUACUUUAUGAACAAAUUGCAAAACUGCUUCCCUUGUUCCGGGCUCCGAAGGGAUGCUGACAUAAGGAAAGAAUGUAUUCGGACGCCACCUGAACCAAGGAAUCUGAACCAGGGUCAGAAGUCAACCUCCGCCACCAUCCUCAUAACCUCUACGGGGCAUGGCCGAUCAGAGGGGAGAUUAGAGCCAUCAAGACCCAGCCCCAGCCCACCAACUGAGCAGGCAAACAACAACACCAUGCUGAUGGUUGUGAUAGUGGCGGUGGUGGCGGCGGCGGUGGCCUUUCUGAUCUGUAACUGGUUAACAGCCGUGGCCCGCAUCCUGUACCGCACCCGACUGCCUGUGGCCAGCGAUGACCCGGAGUCCAAUUCCCUGGGUUGGAGGUUGACCGCUCAAGAGAAUCACCGUCCCAGCAACAUGACUCUUCAUGCGUGUGAGGAGGCUCCGGCGAUGCUGAUCUCUCAGGGCCUGAUGGCAGCCUACCCCAGCCACCAACAACCCCUGCUGAGGCCCAUGGAGGCUCCUGGUGGACACGCCCACUAGCGAUGUCAGGAGGAGGAGGCCGGCUUUCAAAACGGCUUGAGACGGCUAAUCACACUCACACCAGGUGGAACAGUGUGUGACCUUUAACACACAACUGUGAGCCUCUUCCGAGAGGCGCAGUGAUAACAUAGCAAGACAAUAACGACCUCUUGACUCCAGAGACUCUUUCUUAACCAAGCAGAGCCGCACCCCAACCUCCACCCACCCCCCUCAUCUCGCUCCAACCUAACCUCCCCCCCCCCCCCCCCCCCCCCUAUCCAGCAUCAGCCCUCCCCCUGACCUCCUGCCCACCCCCACUUACCCUUCCUCCGAGCUUGCCCCCGGGGGAGCGCUGGCCCCCGGCCGCCCUGUACGCCCUCAUCCAGGAGGUGCCGCUGCGGCGCUGGAAGGAGCUGCUCCGUCACCUGGGCGUGGCCGAGCAGCAGAUGGAGCGGGUGGAGGUGGAGGCCGGCGCCGCCUGCCUGGGCUCCAGGGAGAGGCAGUACCAGAUGCUGCGGCUCUGGACCCAGCGGCCCGCGUCCGCCCUGCCCGAGGUGUACGCCGCGCUGCAGCGCAUGGAGCUGGCCGGCUGCGCCCAGCUGCUCCGGGAGCGCCUGGGGGCCCUGGGGGGGGCGGGGGGGCAGAGUGAAGGGCCGGUCCAGGAGACCAUGGGGCUGGACGGGGGGGGCAGUGUGAAGGGCCCCUCAUGGAGACCUAGGGACUGGACGGGGGGGGCAGUGUGAAGGGCCAUGGGGCUGGAGGGGGGGGGGGGGGGCAGAGUGAAGGGCCCCUCCGCGAGACCAUGAGGCUAGGGGGGGGGGGGGGGGGGCUUCCAAAGGUCUACAUGACACCCAGUCCAAGUUGAUUACACAUUUGAACACGGACAAAAUGGCCGGUUUGCUCCUGAAGUUGGAAGCGCCACGUUGGGC
ensembl:lncRNA